CUGGCGUGUACUGAACGCUUAACAAACCGCCUUCUUCCCACCGACUUUCAGGCCUAUAUACACAUACAAGUAGAAGUAUUGAACCUCAUUGAUUUUGGAAUUGAACGGUUGAACCCCGUGAAAUUAGAUUCAUAACAAUCGAAAUUUAUUAGUUUUGAUGCUCAUGCACAAUUAUGUUCUCUGAUAUGCCUUCUUGUUGGUUGUUCUUUGUUCUGUUCGUUACUAUCUUUUUUCAGAGGUGUCCUUUCGUUCCUCUCGCUCUCGGCUAACUCUCUCUCCGCAAUAUCAUUGACACCAAUCAGGAAGGUACUACUACCUAAUUUCUUCUUCAUUCUAAGAAAUACUCCAUCACCUUUUACAUAUCCCGCACCUAUCUUUUUGUUAAGGAUUAGCCCUUAAAAUUAAACGGAAAUAAACCUUAAUCCUGCUAGGUCUUCCAAAAAGGAGGAGUCUCAGAUAUGAUUGGUUCUAAAAACUGGAGACCUAAUUCAUAUUUGAUAAUCAAAAUAAAUUAUCAUUUGGUGAAGAAAUAAAGGUAUUUUGUUUGUUAUUGCUAGAAUAUCUCCUUCCUUACUAUUUGGUCUGCAAUCAUUUAACUGGACUAAUUGGGAAACGUCUUAAGGUAUUUUUUAUAAUUAACGUAUGGGGAAGAAGCCAUCAAAGGUAUUUUUGUUUCUAGUGUUUCAAGGAGUUCGAUUUGCAAGAAUAUUUUCUUUCAUUAUAUUAAUUGGUCUGUUAUCAUAGAUGAGAACAGUUAGAAUAUUGGUGUUUUUUUCUAGUGAAUGGUACGUGCCCUUACAUAGUUACAUGUAUGGUAAUUCCUGGUUCAUUUUUUUUUAUUCUUUUGGUUGAUGGCAUGGAUAAUGAUUAUUAGUAACUGGAAUUUUUCAGUAUAUCAUGUACUUUUUUUGUUUUUGUUUUUGUUUUGAUUAGUGAAAAAAGAAAAAAGAAAAGGACUGAACCCAAGUUUUUUGUGACCCUUGUCUACGCAUUAUCCACUACUGACAAUCAGAAGCCUAAUGAAGGCUGUUGUGUAUUCUUUUCCUGGUUUGCUCCUGGUUUUGUGCAAUGAGUAGUUCUGGACUCAGUAAUUGUCAGUUUUUUCUUGCCUAUUACCUCACCGAUUUGCACUUAACUUGGCACAAUUCAAUUCUCUUCUAUUGUGGACUUCACCAUGCUGCUGUUGGCAUCUUGCUACUAUCAAGGAUAGUGCCAUCUGGUGCUUCCCAACAGGAAGCCUUUAAAUUGUGUUUCUUAUGCUAAUAGUUUGGUCUCCGCUUUUUGAUAAUAUUACUGUGAUAAAACUUUGGUCUACAUAGUAACAUCAACUUGGUUUUGUGGUUCCUUGAUUGAUUACAUUUUCUUCUCUCUCUCCCUCUUUCAGUUUUUAAAUUUUUUGUGUGGUUGUCUACAGUACGUUGUUCCAUGGUUGACUUAAAAAAAAUUAGAGUAUUUAGUUGUCGAGGUUUGGAAAAAUUAAUGGCAUUGUGGGGCUUUGUUAUAGUGUAAUAAUUUUUCUCAGUUUGCAGGAUAUAUUUUUGUCUCAACAUCUUGACUAUAAGCCUUUUUAAUGGUUUAGGCAUUCUUACUCUUCUUUUUUAUUUCCUCAUUCACAUGUAUUUCUAACUAGAAAAUGUCAAACCCAACCAUUAACUUUGUACUUUUGUUUUGAAGGAAUUUUGGUUUGAAGGUUAUCCACAUCAAUAACAUUCUCCUUUGGUAGGGGUGUUCAAAUCCAGUGGAUACUCAAUUUGACGUGUUAUAUUUGUAAUUCCUUUUCUUUUUGUCAUUAAGCCCUUUUUUUGUGCGUCUUAUCUCCUUCUUUCUCUCUCAUUUUUUUCAGGGACUAGAAGUAGAGCCUGCAUAUUUGUAUGGGGGAAGUUAUCAACAUGGUGCAUUAAGCCCUUGGUGGUUUACUAUUUCUAACCUUGUUCACUUAUUUGACAUUGAGGUGCCUAAAUCUAUGGAUUAUUCUUUAAAUACUCGUUCCCGAUUAAUGUUGACAAGUAGACAUGGUAUUUGCUAUCGAGUUUUUGCUAGUUACUUGUUUUAUUUGUAGUUUUUGCUAGUUACCUGUUCUAUGUGGGCCCCUAGUGGAAUAAUUUUGUCUAGCAAUAGCAUAGUUGAUUUCUUAUCUGAAUUUUUAAGGUGCUUACGAUUGUAAUUAUUGUUUCAAUACUCUUCCCUUGCAUUAUGUUGACAUGGGGCAUUUGGUAACCUUCUCUAUUGGAGUAGGUGAGACUUUGAGUUAUUUUAUCUUUUUUUGGCAAUAAUUAUCUCGAGUUGUAUUCAUUGAUUAUUUAGCACAACUUGGUUUGUCCCUUGUCUUUCCGUUGUACACUUGACAAUCAGAAGUGUAAGCUGGACCUCUUGUUACGCAGGUUGUUGUUUAUUCUCUUCCUGGUUUGCUCCUGGUUUCAUGCAAUGGGUAGUUCUGGACUCAAUAAUUGUUAGUUUAUUCUUGUUACCUAACUGUUUUUCGCCUAACAUGGCACACUUGAUUCCUCUUCUAUUGUGGACUUCCUUGCAUCUUCCUACUGUCGAAGGGAGGCCUGUAAAUUGUGUAGGAUAGUUCUAUUCGGUACUUCGAAACAGGGAAGCCUAUAAAUUGUGUUUCUUAUGUUAAUUGUUUGUUCUUUAUUUGAUAAUAUUACUGUGAGAGAACUUAGGUCUACAUAGUACUCCCUCCGUCCCAUAGUUAUAGGCUGAUUUCUUUUGGCACAUAGUUUAAGAAAAUUAGUUAAGUGGCAGUUUUUAACAUAAAUUUUUCACAUAUACCCCUUAAUAUGGAAUUAAUCAAUAAGUUAAUUACUCCUUACUUAUCACACUGGAACUCUCAACUUCAUUGAUUGACGUGUACUGACCAUUAAAAUCCAUAACCAUAGAACUUUAACCAAAGAGAAAACAAUAACAUUAAAUGUGGUGAUAAAAAUAAUGACAUUGAAUGUUGUUUCUUCAAAAAAAGAGUAAUGGUUGAAUAUUUAUUAUAAGGGCAUAAAAGUAAAACAAUGAACCAACUAAAUUUUAUAAAUAGUAAGUAGCCUAUAUAUUGGGACAUCUCAAAAUGGAAAAUCAGCCUAUAACUAUGGGACAGAGGGAGUAUCAUUAACUGGUGUUCACAGUUCCUUAUUGAUUGCAUUUUUUUAAUCAUAUUUUUUAUUUUUGUGAUAUGUUUGUGGUCGUCUACAGUGCAUUGUUCCAAGGUUGACAUUGGGAAAAAACUAGAGUUUUUAUUUGCAAUGUUCGAAAAAGCUAAAAUCGCUAUGAGGCGUUUUUAUCUGGGCUAUGCGAGGCGUAAGCCUCGAGGUGGAGCGAGGCGGAAGCCUUGAUUCAAAGACCUAAAAGUCCCCAAAAAAUUAUGAAAAAAUAUUAAUAAAAUCAUAAAAUAAUUCAUCAUUACAAUUAAGGUUAUAGAAGACAUAAAUAACCAACGUCACAGUAAUGUAUCAUUACAAAACAUCAAAACAACAUAGUAUCAUCAAGUACUUAUAUAGUGAUCAUCCAUCACUAUGUAAGUAAUGUAUCAUUUGUAUCUAGCGGCUUGAAUAAAGGAUCAAAUCCUUAGAUCAUCAUCCCCAUCACCAUCAUCAUCAUCACUAUCAUCACUAAGAGGAUCCUCCAUGGAAUCAUCAUCGUAUCUAAUAGCUCUGUCAUCCUCCUCAUUGUCAGUGCUAAGAUCCUCAAAUUCAGGUUCUUCAUCAACCAAUUGCAAUCCCUUCCCUUUAUCUAUAAAUAAACAAGUGAAUAUAUAUUUAAUCCAAAUGAAUAUGUUUUUUUAAAGAACACCUUAAAGGCAACUUAAGUAAUGACACUAAUCUUUUGACAUAGUUUUUGACGGCAAAGUGUUUCUCUCUCUUUUGACUUCCUUGUUUACUACUUGUUCCCCGAGUCCCUUGCCCUCCAAGUGUAAUCUCUCCCACAUUAGUCUCUUCUCCCCCAACUGUCUUCUCAUUCCCAUGAAUCCUUUCACCCUCCUCCAUAUCAUCAUUCCCAGAAGUCAGUCUCGAGAUAUUUUCAUCGUUUCCCCCCGCAAUCCACUCAUUAUCAGAUGACACAUUUUCAACAACCAAUGGAUCAUCUUCUUCCGUUAGUGCCUUUUUCUUGAUAUGCCGAUCUUUCAAUUUUUUAUUAUACACAAUGUAAGCCAAUGAGUUAAGCCUGGAUGCGGACAGUCGGUUCCUUCUCUUUGUAUGUAUUUAUAUUACAAUUAAUUUAGCAAUUAGCAUUAGUGAAAAUGUCAGAUCUCAUAAAAUCUUAAUAAAUGAUUUAUAUCUAAUAAAUACCUGACUGAAAGUACUCCAAUUACGCUCACACCCCGAAGAUGAGCAAGUUAAACUCAGAAUCUUCACUGCAAAGUUUCUUAAUUCCGGAGUUUCAUCUGCGAUCCACCAAUCAGUUGGAUCAAUAUUAAAAUAUAUAUCAAUCUUACCGGUACACGUUUAAUCAAAGUGAAAGCAUAACCAGACAUUAAUCAACGGUACUUACCGGGAGCACGUUUCUUACACGUAUUUUUAGCAUUUGUGUAGCCAAAUAACCCUUGCCUCAAUCGGAAUGCAUCCAUUUGCAAAUCAGCUUUCUCUCUUUCCACAGCGUUAUGAAUAAAGCUUGUCCAUACAAGAGUACAAUCCCACUUUAACUUCCGCAUUUGCAUAGAAAUUGUCUUCAUAUUGAAAAUGAGGAUUCAAAUAAUAUGCAGCAGCGUGCAAAUGCCGAAUGCAGAUUCAAAUAAUAUGAGGAUUCAAAUAAUAUUAUUUUUGAGAAGUUAACAAUAAAAAGUAAUCCUUCGUACGUUGUUUUUGUUCUUCCUAUAGUCUCAUUCUACUCCCUUAUCCCAUAGUUUUUAUGUUCAGUGUUCCAAGGGAUAGUGGGUCUUUAGCGAAAUAAAUUUGUCUGGCAUAGUUAAAUUCUUUUCUGAAAUUUUAUGGUGCUUACCUAUUGUAUUCUUGUUUUAAUGGUCUUCCCAUCCUAUUAUGUUCACAUAUAGGGCAUUUGGUAACCUUUAUUGGAGGAGGCGAGGUUCUGACUUAUUUUAUUUUUUUUGUCCAAAAUUAUCUUCAAUUGUAUUCAUUGGUUAUUUAACAGCUUGUUUUGUGACCCUUGUCUUUCUGUUGUCCACUGACAUUCAGAAGCCUAAGCUGGACCUCUUAUUAUGAAGUCUGUUGUGUAUUCUCUUCCUUGUUUGCUCCUGGUUUCAUGCAAUGGGUAGUUCUGGACUCAAUAAUUGUCAGUUUUUUCUUAUUUGUUACCUAACCAGUUAUCGUCUAACAUGGCACAUUUGAAUCCUCUUCUAUUGUGGACUUACCCACCACUGCUGUUGCUACUAUCAAGGUAGUGCUAUCUUGUACUACCAAAUACGGAAGCAUGUAAAUUGUGUCUUAUGUUAAUAGUUUUGUUUUUUCUUUCUGAUAAUCUUACUGUGAGAGAAUUUUGGUCUACGUUGUAACAUCAACCGGUGUUUGCAGUUCCGUAAUUGAUUGCAUUUUCUUCUCUCUUUUUAUUUUCUUUUUUAAAAUUUUCUAAUAUGUUUGUGGUUGUCUACACUGCAUUGUUUCUAGGUAAAGAUAAUAUUACUGUGAGAGAUCUUGGGUCUACGUUUUAACAUCAACAGGUGUUUGCAGCUCCUUAAUUGAUUGCGUUUUCUU
rnacentral:lncRNA from 1 species